UACAUAGGGUGCGAGCGUUAAUCGGAAUUACUGGGCGUAAAGUGUGCGCAGGCGGCCGCUCAAGUCGAGUGUGAAAGCCCCGAGCUUAACUUGGGAAUUGCGCUCGAAACUACGUGGCUGGAGUGUGGCAGAGGAAGGUGGAAUUCCAGGUGUAGCGGUGAAAUGCGUAGAGAUCUGGAGGAACACCGAUGGCGAAGGCAGCCUUCUGGGCCAACACUGACGCUCAUGCACGAAAGCGUGGGGAGCAAACAGG
rnacentral:rRNA from 1 species